rnacentral:rRNA from 1 species
CGGGAAGAGCUCAAAUUUAUAAUCUGGCACCUUCGGUGUCCGAGUUGUAAUCUCUAGAAAUGUUUUCCGCGUUGGACCGCACACAAGUCUGUUGGAAUACAGCGGCAUAGUGGUGAGACCCCCGUAUAUGGUGCGGACGCCCAGCGCUUUGUGAUACAUUUUCGAAGAGUCGAGUUGUUUGGGAAUGCAGCUCAAAUUGGGUGGUAAAUUCCAUCUAAAGCUAAAUAUUGGCGAGAGACCGAUAGCGAACAAGUACCGUGAGGGAAAGAUGAAAAGCACUUUGGAAAGAGAGUUAACAGUACGUGAAAUUGUUGGAAGGGAAACGCUUGAAGUCAGACUUGCUUGCCGAGCAAUCGGUUUGCAGGCCAGCAUCAGUUUUCCGGGAUGGAUAAUGGUAGAGAGAAGGUAGCAGUUUCGGCUGUGUUAUAGCU